rnacentral:tRNA from 1 species
AGUAAGGUAAGCUAAUUAAGCUGUCGGGCCCAUACCCCGAAUAUGCAGGUUGAAAUCGUGCCCUUACUA